GACGAACGCUGGCGGCGUGCUUAACACAUGCAAGUCGAACGGGCCCGCUCUCUUUUUUGGGGGUGGGUUGAGUGGCGAACGGGUGAGUAUCACGUGAGUAACCUGCCCCCUGCUCCUGGAUAACUGCUUGAAAGGGCGGCUAAUACGGGGUGUGCCGGCUGGUCCGCAUGGGCCUGGUCGGGAUAGUUUCAUCUUCGGGUGUUUCGGUGGGGGAUGGGCUCGCGGCCUAUCAGCUUGUUGGUGGGGUGAUGGCCCACCAAGGCGGUGACGGGUAGCCGGCCGGAGAGGGUGGGCGGCCACACUGGGACUGAGACACGGCCCAGACUCCUGCGGGAGGCAGCAGUGGGGGGUAUUGCACAAUGGGCGGAAGCCUGAUGCAGCGACGUCGCGUGAGGGAUGGAGGCCUUCGGGUUGUGAACCUCUUUCUCCGGUGGUGAAGGCCCUGUCCGUUGCGGCGGGGUUGACGGUAGCCGGGUAUGAAGCGCCGGCUAACUACGUG
rnacentral:rRNA from 1 species